UUUUUAAUGAUGUCUGCUUUGUUGUUUAGCAGUUUGGUUUGGUUUGGGGUCUGGUCUUUGUCUGUUUUAAGAGGCCAACUAGUUAUCCUAUGUUAGUUAUAGUUACAAUAAAAUGUUGGUAGGGGUAGGUGGGUUACAGUUAUCGUUGUGUUUGCCUAUGUUUGAUAUUAUGAAUAAAGAUGAAGAAAUCAUGGAGAUAUCAAAGAGAAUCAAGUGCUCAAUUGAAUGUGCUUCAAAGGCAAUUUUUUUCUUUUAUUUUCUAUGGUUUUAUUACUUAUUGAUUUUCUUUUUGUUGGUUUAAAUCUUCGAAAUAAUU
rnacentral:lncRNA from 1 species